UCAAACUCGGAACCACUAAGCUAAAUCUCCAGCCCCAGACUUUUUUUUUUUUUUCUUGAGACAGGGUCUCACUGUUUUGUGAGUGGCUGAGAUUAAAGGCACGGGCCACCACACGCUGGCUCUCUCCCUUUCUAAUUGGUGUAUUUUAAAGUGAAUUCCAACAUCAUAUCUUAUAUUUGAGUAUGUAGCCCUCCGAAAGGCAGGCAGGUCUGACUGAGCAUGUCUUGUGAUCAGACAUGCAAACUAGGCAGUGGGAGAGAAUGUGGACACAGCAAGCAAUGGCUGGCCCUUUCUGAACGGUGGAGUCUUCUUUUUCCUGAGGUUAGGCUGUUAAUGUCAAUGCUUAAGGUAAAAACAGUGUAGAUUUUUGUUAUUGUUUUUAUUUUGUUUUUUUGAGACAGGGUCUCACUAUGUAGUUCAGGCUGGCUUUGAACUCACUGUGGACCCUAGGCUGGCCUCCAACUCACAUCGAGCCUCCUGCCUCAGCCUCCCAAAGUGCUGGGAUUACAGGGAUGUGCCAUCAUGCCUGGCAAAAAUAGUGUAGUUAAAACCUCCCAUAUUUUCAGAUGGCCUCAUAUUGGGUUUUCUUUUUUUGUUUGUUUUGCUUCUGCAGUGCUGGGGAUUGAGCCCUGGGCCUAGUGCAUUCUAAGCAAGCCCUCUGUCACCAAGCUACAUCCCAGCCCAAACACUGGAACAUACUGGGAACUAGGACAUUAUCUUUCUUUAUGUAAACGUAGCCCUCUUCUUCCAUCGUUAAACAGUUCACUGUGGCUUUGGCUAAACACCAGUGUUAGGUUUGUGUUCAGGGAACAUGUUGUAUGAAAAACUCACUCAUCCAGGUAAGAGAUGGGAAUCAAGUGUUGGUACCUAGAAAAUGAUAUCCUAAAACAGGGACCUUGGCAAUUGAGAAAACCACAGAAACAGCAAGAUCUCUCUUUUAUCGGUCUCCAGCCUUUCCAGGUGAAGUGUGGUUAUAAGGGAAUUCUCUGACCUACCUUGCCUGAGCUAGGUCAUGAGAACCUCAUUCAAACCUGGGUGUGAUGGUGAACAACUGUAAUCCCAGCACUCUGGGAGACCUAGGCAGGAAGAUUACAAAUUCAAGCCUAGCUGAGAAAUUUAGUAAUUUAGAGAGACCCUGCUUCAAAAUUUAAAAAUUGGGGGGAGGGGGGCUGGAGAUAUAGCUCAGUGUGAAGGCCCUAGGUUCAAUCCACACUACACCUCCCUUCCAAAUUGAGAGAGGGCCUACCCUAUUUCUAGCCUAGGAAGAAUCUAAACAAACAGGCCUUGCUGGUGACCCCCUUUUUACCCCCAGUUCACCACCUUUAGAUCAUACACUUUGUGUCUAAUCAUACUUCUACAUGUCUGUCUUUGCUUCAGUGAACCUUAGCAUGCAUUUGAACAGUUUGUGUGGCUCCUUAGGUCUUCAUUUCUGAAGCCUCCCGUGUUACAUAAAACAUGAAUACAUUUUGAGGUCCUUUUUCUUGUUAGUCUAUUUUGUUAUGGGGUAUCAGCAUGUUCCAUGCUGAGAAGUACAGAGAAAGAGGUUCAAGACCUGUCUUCCAGUGGCUAACAGGAUCUUGUAGUUUUGAGAAAAGGAAAACAAAGGCAAGGGUUGGGAGUUUACAUAAUUGGGGUUUUGCAUAACUGGCAAUAUAGGCAACCCUGCCCGAGCCUCAUCUGGUGAACUUUUCCUCAGGGCUGGUUCUGCCAGGCUCUGGGAGAGCCAUCAUUGCUUAAGGUGGCCAUUCUGGUCCUAUCUUAAGGGAGCAGCCUUGUUCCCUGAUGGGGUAAUUGCUCUGGCUCCGAGACGGUCUGUACUGCUCAGCUGCUGCAGGUUUGGGACAAUGGCUGGAGACUUCUUGGCAUCACUUCAAAGGGACAUUGUAAAAGCUGGCAACUGGGUGACACUGCAAAUCCUGAAAAUUACAUUGUUACUCUUUUGUUGAUGUCCUUAAUCUUGAAGGGGGAUGAGACAGAUGAGGUAAAUUUAGGGCUAUUAAACCUUGUAUCACUAUUUUUUAGGCAGACACUCCCUGAGUGAAUUUUUUUUUUCCAGUACCAGGGAUUGAACUCAAUUAAGAUCUUGCAUUUUCAAGGCAGGCAAGGUGCCACUGAGCUAAACCCCUAGCCCACUCCCUGAGUGAUUAACAUGCCUGCGUGCAGAGCUGACCCAAAGCUUUAUGUAAUAAAAUGAAGGCAGAAAUGCCCAGCUUCAUCCUGCUUUUAGUGAUCCAGCUUCUAAGACCAUGUUACAUUUUGACUUUUUCCUAUUCCCCCACCUCCACCCACUACCAUCAACACACAUAUACUUGGUUCUUCACCCUGGACAAUAGUGUAAGCUGCUCUAUUCAGCUGUGUGUUGACUUUAGACUCGGUUGUAUCCACGGCGUCUGGCAUAUGGGUGAACUUGAUAAAUAUUUAUUAAAGGAAAUAUAUUCUAAAUGUUUCUGACUUAGUCACUCCCACCUCUUUAAUAAAAUAGGAAUUCUGUGGUUCUUUUAGCUUCUAGCCAUCACCGAGAUCUUUCUAUACAUCCCCAUUAGUGUCUGGCUACACAUAAGCCACUCACCUAUUGCUAGCUAGCCAUUUAUUGAUUGCUUGUACUGGGAACUGAACUCAAGGUGUUAGUACUGAGCUACAUCCCCAACCUUUUUGUUGUUUCAAUUUUGAAUCAGGGUCUCCCAAAAAUGCUAAGUUGCCUAGUAUAUUAGUUACUUUCUUGUUGCUAGGACAAAACACAUGACACCUGCAAUUUAAAGGAGGAGAAGUUUAUUUUGGCUCAAGAUUGUGGUGAUUUCAGUGCACGGUGGGAUAGCUUCGAGGCAGAAAUGGCAUGGAGAAAGGGCAUGGCAGGGGAGAGCUGCUCAACCCAAGGCUGCCAGGCAGCAAAGAGAAAGAAGGGAGGAGCCAGGGACAAAAAUACACCUUUCCAGGUCCACAUCUUUUAAAAAAUAUUUAUUUAUUUAUACCCACUUCUUUUCUUUCUUUUUAUUUAUUUAUUUAUUAUUUUUGGUACCAGGGAUCAAACUCAGGACCUUGAGCUUUUGAGGCAGGCGGCGGAACCACUGAGCUAAAUCCCCAGUAUCUUUUCUUUCUUUCUUUCUUUCUUUUUUUUUGGUACCAGGGAUCAAACUUGGGACCUUGCACUUUCAAGACAGGCGGUGGCACCACUGAGCUAGAUCCCUGGCCCUAGACCCACUUCUGACUAGGCUCACCUCUUAAUAGCCCAUUCUGCUAUUACCAAUGGAUUAAUGCACUGUGGGAAGAAAACAGAAAUCUAUCUAAAGACUGGACCAGAAAGUUUGUACCGGGGAUCGAACUCAGGACCUUGUGCUUGCCAGAUAGUUGCUGCGCCACUGAGCUACAUCCCUGGCCCCCAAGCUCUGUCUUUUCUAUCAAACAAGAGUGCCUCCAUUUUGGACUCUAGUCCACUCUAGGUGGCUCCACCCAAAUGCACCAAGUUUGAGAAAUGCCUGCUCAGUUUAGACUCUGGGAACACAGCUAACAGUCAAGGACUUUCAGUGCCCCAUACCUCAAUGCUCCCCUCCCUUAACAACCCUGCCCAGCAACACUUUGUGCUGCUUAAACUAGCCAAUUGGGAUAGAUUGUGAACCUUCAACCCAACCAAGGGAAAAAGGUCAGCUGCUUCUCCUGUGUUAGGGAUAAAAGGGGCAAACCACCUUUGUCCUGCGUACCUGCUACCUCAUUGCUGGGGUGUGUUUGUGCCCUUUGGCAAAAGUAAAAAACCUUGUUGAGA